UAUAUGUCGGGGGCUACUUUUACUUCACCCAAUUCUAACCCUUCACUUUUUUCUUCUUCACUCUCGCACAAACCUCCCAUUCUCUGGAUCCCUCCCCCUCUCUCUCAUUCGGCAGCAGGUAGCUACGGCCGCUGCCAUACACACACUAUCAUCUCCUUGCUACCCAACAGAAAACUCUCCUUCACAAAUUCCGGCGAGAUCUCUGCUGUUACCACAGCACGCCGCCGCCGACGGCCCUGUUUCCCCCACUGAUUUCUCCACCUCAAUCGGGACCAGUACAGCUCUCCUUUCCCUUUUCUUUGGCCGAGCAUAAAUUCAAGUUGAGAUAAGAAUUUGUGAUGGCGAAGGAAGAGAAAGAUGUAUCAAAAGAUGUGACGGAAUUUGAGUGGAAAACUAUGCAAGAGCCAGUAGCUAGUGAAGGAGUUUCUGCACAGAAGAGGCCCCGGAAAAGACUGAGGCAGAUUCCCGAAUAUUAUUUCCUUCCCCGGAGAUCUCUUACAUUUAACCUUUUAUUUUAUGGAGGAUGCAUCGUUGGUGGGAUUGGCGCUGGCAUGCUCGUAGAAAAAUGGAUAGAUAAGAAGGUCAAAGAAGAUGGAGGUGUGGUCUGGGAAUUCGACAAAUGAAAAGCUCCAUCGUCAUCGUAUUAAAGAUUUCUCUAAACAUAAUCACUGGUAAUGUGCUGAUUUCUCCUACUUCUCCUUUUGUGAAAACACCUUAUGUGACUUAUGUCUGAAUUUUUCCAGUGUUAGAAGUUAGAACGUGAGUUAUUACUUCAUUCGCAUUACUACAUGCUUAUUAAAUGUAAGUAGAUGUACUUUGUAUGUUCAUAUCACCUUUUGUGGUUGAAGGAACUAAAUAAAUAUUUUGCCACUUUAGUCGAAGACCAAAUUUGAUUAGAGGGAGAAGAUAUGUAUAUGCUAUGUUAUUAAAUUAGGGGUUAAUUGUGUUUUGUGCCUUUGGAUUCUUAAGUGGAUAUUUUUUCGAUGUAGUUUCACAAAAAUAAAAAUAAAAAUUCCAUCUGAGAAGAGAGAAAUUGAGCAGAACUUUGGAGAUGUGCUUUGUAUGUUUGUAUCACUUUGUGUGGUUGAAGAUCCACCCCUGAACUAGAUACCCUUAGAGCUUUGAGCCCCAAGACUCGGCCUAGUUGCAAAAAUCUCCCCCAUAGUCCAGAAAAAAAGUGCAUUUAAACCCACCCGUUAAAUGGCGUUUUAACGCUGUCUUCUUGUAACAACCCGCUCUUUUAUCAGUAUUUAAUUACAUUAUUGCGUGUUUAUUUAUCUAUCUACUAGUAAAUGAAGCACCUUAUGAUUUCAACUAUGUUUCUGAAUUACGUAUUUUGGAGACAGAGUCACUACACUAGCAGUAUGCAUUUUUAUUUAUCUUCGCGUGUUUAAGACCGCGAUGAGAAUCUUUAAGUCAAUGAAUUAUUAUUACUUAGUUAUAACCAACUUAGCGAAGUUGUGUUAUUUAUUAAUCAAGAUGGAGUUUAUUUCAUGUUGUUACUUAAGUCGUGAAUUAUUUUCGACUUUGAAGCUAAUUAAAUCUACGGAUUUAAUUUAAGUAUUAGAAUGACGAACGAAUUAAAUCUACGGAUUUAAUUUAGCAUUUAUCGAUUUUAGCAAACACGAAACCAGUAUUUCUAAUACAGAGAAACCAACACUGAAGGGUUUUAUUUUAGAUCUUUUAUUUAGAUCACAUCACACGCCCACCCUACACCUCUCUACGUCUGCUACAUCCUAGAUUUAAGGAAAAAGAAGGAAAAAGGGUGAGAAAGGUGUGCUGCAGCAGCAGCUCUUCCCCAUGCAACAAGCCAUGCCCAAGUACACCUAACAUGUCAUUUCAGCCACACUACAACCAUGCUCAUCCUUUUAGCACUCAAGUGCAUAUCAACCGAGCUCCUAGUAUAAAUUCACUCCUAAACCCUUGAGCCACCCCUUUCUCUUCUCGGCACUUAGAAUUUUUCAGCAGCAACAGCAAGAAGUUUCAUCUCUCUCGACGCCUUGCACGAAUGGGAGUAGAGCGAGAUUCUUGCUGUCGACUUGAACAAGUUUGCACCUCGACGCUCGAAAAAGCGAGUGAGAAACCAUCGUUCUUUACCCGACCAAAGCACGCGAUAUAUCAAGGUAACCUUCGACCUCUGUUGCUACUCCAAUCGGCAUGAAUCACACUCGCAGAAAUCAUGUUUUAUGGGCUGUAAACGAAUGAACAAAAAGCAUGUUAAAUCACGUUUUUGUGGAACCUACAACUUGAAACCUUGAGGAACGACGAGAACUUUAGCUUUAAACGUAGACGAACGUGAAUAAUCACAGCAUGCUCACAUAGGUAGAGAUUAAGGUCUGUAUACGAGUGAAAAUCGAGGCGAGAUAAGGACGGAGAAUUCUGGUUUUGGAAACUGGAGUCCCCGUCGUUCUUCCCAGACCUAGAAUUGGCCAGAGCAGAGAAAUGACCAGAGCAGCGGAGAAAAUGCCAGACCAGAGGAAUCACUUCGCCAAAGGAAUCACCUCGCCAGAUGAAUCAUUUUCACCAGAGGAAUCAUUCCUCGCCAGAUGAGUCACUUCGCCACAGAGCUAACUCAGCCAGAGCUGACUUAGAGGCCAGAGCUGACCUCCAGAGCAGAAAGCGAAGAAGCAGAGCAGACCGUGAGAGAGAGAGAGAGGGAGAGAAAGAGAAGAGAACAUAGGGUGUUUAAAUCUUUAUUAUUUUCUUUCCCUUGCUUACACGAAGGGAGAUUAUUAUAUUUUUAGUGGCAGUUUAGAACACCCUAAUGAGAACGAAUCAAUGUAGUUAAUUACUUGACUUCAUGGGACGGAACCUAGUUGAGUUAAUUGUUUAAUAAAAAUGAAUAUGAGCCAUGCAUAAUUACCUUACGCAUCCUCAUUUAUUUGAGAAUUUCCUCGGACUAAGACCUUUCCGAAUCAAGGUUGAACGCAAGAGUUUAAGGCUUAGUAUUGAGUCUCCACUACCAGGUGGGCUUUCUUACGUAUAAACUAAAACCAUAUAGUAGAAUUGUUAAGACUUUAUGCUUAUGAAUUUGAAUGAUGUUGUCAAUGCCUAAAAUACUUUAUGUUUUGUUAUUAAUUGCCUAUCUGAUGUUAAUCGAAUUCGGAUUCUGGAUGGGACCGCAAAUCCCUUCGAAAGUAGUGUACACCCUUGUGAUCGUGAGUCAUCUAGCGGGUUGGCCGAUCAUAGUGUCCGUAGAGGGAGGCCUCCCUCUCGGCACGAGUUACUGAUAUGGUGAUUAAUGAUGUAAAAUGCCUGCGCGGGUUAUUGAUGAAAGAAAUGAUAUUAUUUUUGGUAAAUACGAGUCUUUAAAAGAAAACCCUCGUAUCUUACUACUGUUGAAAGGCUUGACAAUAAAAUAUUAUGCAUGUAUGUAAAUUUCGGCAAGUGUCCACUAAGUACUCCCGUACUUAGCCCUGCAUAUAUUUUUAAAUGUGCAGGUUGAGCUGUGAUCGGGGAUGUAGUGUGCAAGCGGAGCUUUUGUCAAUCUAGGACGAGAACCUCAGAGUGGAGUAUAUGUCUUCAUACAUAUACUCAAAUUGUUGUUUUUCCGCUGCGAACACUGAUUACGAAAAGAUAUUAUGUCAUUUGUCAAACAAUAUGUAUUAUUUAACAAUGUACUCGAACUCAUUGAGUACCAUUUUUGGAUAAUAUUAUGUAGGGUCCCCUUGCGGCUUUCGUUAA